rfam:Wallemia sebi CBS 633.66 unplaced genomic scaffold WALSEscaffold_17, whole genome shotgun sequence.
CCUCCUAUAGCUCAAUUGGCAGAGCGCAAGACUGUAACGGCAGCUUGAUAUCUUGAGGUUCCUAGUUCGAUUCUGGGUGGGAGGA